rnacentral:lncRNA from 12 species
GUUCCUCUUCCACGACCUCUUCUCAUUCAACCCAAUAGACAAGUAUUUGGGGGGGGGGGGUCAGGUCCCAGACGCUUAAAGGGUGGAAGUGAAAGUGGUGCGGGGGAAGGGGGGGGGCACACCGUCCUCUCCAGCGCCUUUGGUUCAAACCUCCUUCGUGACCUCCCUCCCUCCCUCCCUCCUUCGUCUUAUAAAUAUAUAAAUAAAAUCCUAAAGAAAAAGAAAAAAAAAAAAAAAAAAAAGGAAGGACACGAGAAAAAACGGUGCAUCCGUUGCCGUCCUAAGAGUCCUCGCCUGGUUUCGGCUCUACGUUCCCUCCCUGACCUCGGAAACGUGCCUGAGUCGUCCCGGGAGCCCCGCGCGGCGAGCGCGACCCCCUUUCCGGGCGGCAGCGGGCCCGGACGGACGGACGGACGGACGGACGGGUUUUCCAAGGCUCCCCCGCCCCGGGAGGACGGGGGUUCGCGCGGUGCGCGGCCGUGUGCUCCCGGGGCCCUCCGCCGUCCCCGGGCCGAGAGGCGAGAUCCGAGGCGCCCUGACGGCCUCGCCGCCCGGAUCUGUCCCGCUGUCGUUCGCGCCGGUUGUCGGGUGCCACCUGGCGGCCGCUUUUAUAGAGCGUGUCCCCUCCGGAGGCUCGGCGGCGACAGGCAAGGAACAGCUUUGGUGUCGGUUUCCCGGGGCCGAGUUCCAGGAGGAGGGCGGCUCCGGCGCGAGCGUCCGGCUGUCGCCGGGGCCUCGGCGCGCGAUGCGCUCGCCGGAGAUUGGACCUCCGGAGCUGCGAGGGAGUGUCGCCGUCGCCGCUGUCGCCGCUGUCGCCUCCGCCUCGCUCCCGGAGGAGGCCGUGCGGGCCGCCUGGGUGGGUCGACCAGCACCCGCCGGUGGCUCCUCCUCCGCCCGCGCGGACCGACCUGGGCCGCCUCGGGGGCGGGGGACAGGGUGUGUCCCGCCGUCCGUCCUGUGGCUCCGGGCGAUCUUCGGGCCUUCCUUCCGUGUCACUCGGUUGUCUCCCGUGGUCACGCCCUGGCGACGGGGACCGGUCUGAGCCUGGAGGGGAAGCCCGUGGGUGGCGCGACAGACCCGGCUGCGGGCACGUGUGGGGGUCCCGGGCGUCGGACGCGAUUUUCUCCCCUUGUUCCGAGGCCCGCUGCGGAGGUGGGUCCCGGGCGGUCGGACCGGGUGCCACGCGGGGGUGGGCGGGCCGUCCGUUCGGGCGUCCGGCCCCGGUGGCGAUUCCCGGUGAGGCUGCCUCUGCCGCGCGUGGCCCUCCACCUCCCCUGGCCCGAGCCGGGGUUGGGGACGGCGGUAGGCACGGGGCGGUCCUGA